GAUGAACGCUGGGCGGCGUGCCUCAAACAUGCAAGUCGAGCGGGGCUAUGUAAUAUCGCAAGGUAGAACAUAGCCUAGCGGCGAACGGGUGAGUAACACGUGGGUAACCUGCCUGGAAGACAGGGAUAACGAUUCGAAAGGGUCGCUAAUACCUGAUAAUAUCCUUUCAUCGCAUGGUGAUAGGAAGAAAGGGGAAACCCGCUUUCAGAUGGGCCCGCGUCCCAUCAGCUAGUUGGUAAGGUAAAGGCUUACCAAGGCGACGACGGGUAGCCGGUCUGAGAGGAUGUACGGCCACACUGGGACUGAGAUACGGCCCAGACUCCUACGGGAGGCAGCAGUUGGGAAUCUUAGGCAAUGGACGAAAGUCUGACCUAGCGACGCCGCGUGAGGGAAGAAGGCCUUCGGGUUGUAAACCUCUGUCAUGGGGGAAGAAGUAAGUGACGGUACCCCCAAGAGGAAGCCCCUGCUAACUACGUG
rnacentral:rRNA from 1 species